GUCAGGGAGGCUUCAUAUUUAUAGGGAGGUUUGUGGGAGCUAUAAGGGAAACGUUAAUCAGGCGGGAUAUUUUGAGUAUUCUUUUGUUGAGAUGACAUUUGUAGUUGGGCAGGGGGUGAUAAGCCCUCUGGGCAGGUGUAGGUGGUGGAAGGUUUCUGGACAGGGGGUGAUAAGUCCCAGAUAG